AGAUUGAACGCUGGCGGCGUGCCUAACACAUGCAAGUCGAGCGGUAGCAGGUGUAGCAAUACAUGCUGACGAGCGGCGAACGGGUGAGUAAUACUUCGGAAUCUACCCACGGGUGGGGAAUAACCAGCCGAAAGGUUGGCUAAUACCGCAUACGCCUACCGGGGAAAGGACGGGGAGUCGAAGAACCUCGCGCCGGUGGAGUGAGCCGAAGUCGGAGUUAGCUAGUUGGUAGGGUAACGGCCGUACCAACGGCGACGAUCCGUAGCUGGUCUGAGAGGACGACCAGCCACACUGGGACGUGAGACACGGCCCACGACUCCUACGGAGGCAGC
rnacentral:rRNA from 1 species